GGAAAUCUGAGGACUCCAAAAUGAAGCAGAGCUGAUAUCACUACAGCCUUCUCAGUCUUCUCCAAAAAAGGCCUGUUCUACACUGCAUGGUUAAGCUGAUGUGAGCUGCCUUGUGUCCAUCUAGCUGUGAAAGUGUCUUCAUUUAAAUUUGGCUCCUGCAGAUGAGCUGCCCCAGAAUGCCCCCACACUGACAAUACAAUCGAUACAAGAGUUCCUGGUGAGGACACGCAUGGCCAGCACAAGGAACCAAGUGUGUGUACGCACAAGCGAUUUAAUAAUAGAGGCAGCUGUAUGCAGAUACUCCUGUAGACUUACUUUGGGGUUGCUGCAAGAUCACAUUCCAGAGCGGUGGCU